rnacentral:rRNA from 1 species
UGCGUAGGUGGCGGGGUAAGUCAGGUGUGAAAUCUCGGAGCUCAACUCCGAAACUGCACUUGAUACUGCCUUGCUUGAGUACUGGAGAGGAGAUUGGAAUUUACGGUGUAGCAGUGAAAUGCGUAGAUAUCGUAAGGAAGACCAGUGGCGAAGGCGAAUCUCUGGACAGUUACUGACACUGAGGCACGAAGGCCAGGGGAGCAAACG